rnacentral:rRNA from 1 species
AGAGCAUAGGGUGGAUGCCUAUGGCACUAGGCGCCGAAGAAGGACGUGACAAGCUGCGAAAAGCUGCGACUAGUCGCAAAUAGACGUAUUAAGUCGCAGAUCUCCGAAUGGGGCAACCCCCUUGGGAAAACCCCAAGGAUCUCUUCCCCAAUCCAUUAAGGAAGAGAGGGAAUAGCCCGUGAACUGAAACAUCUAAGUAACGGGACGAAAAGAAAGAAACAUCGAUUCUCCAAGUAGCGGCGAGCGAACGGGGAAAAGCCCAAAUUGCCACAGAAGACUUUGGACCCUUAGACGAACUGUCCUGGGAAGGCAGACCACAGACGGUGAAAGUCCGGUAGUCGAAAAGGAGACGAAGUUGUGGCUAAAAGAGUACUACGGGACACGAGAAACCCCGUAGGAAGACGGGAGGACCUCCUCCCAAGGCUAAAUACGACCUAGUGACCGAUAGUGAACAAGUACCGUGAGGGAAAGGUGAAAAGAACCCCGGGAGGGGAGUGAAAUAGAACCUGAAACCCCAUGCUUACAAGCAGCGGGAGCUCGUUAAGGAGUGACCGCGUACUUUUUGUAGAACGGGCCAGCGAGUUAUGAUAAGAAGCAAGGUUAAGAGGCAAAGCCUCGGAGCCGUAGGGAAACCGAGUCUUAAUAGGGCGAAAGAGUUUCUUGUCAUAGACCCGAAACCGGGUGAUCUAUCCAUGGGCAGAGUGAAGUUUCGGUAAAACGAAAUGGAGGCUCGAACCGGGUAUGGUUUAAAACAUAUCGGAUGACCUGUGGAUAGGGGUGAAAAGCCAAUCGAACCCGGAUAUAGCUGGUUCUCCUCGAAAUAGCUUUAGGGCUAGCCUUCAGGAAGAGUCUGCGGGAGGUAGAGCACUGAUUGAUCGCGGGGCACGUGGUGUUACCAAGAUCUAUCAAACUCCGAAUACCCGUAAGAUACCCUGAGGAGUCAGACAUGGUGGGAUAAGCUUCCAUGUCGAAAGGGAAAGAGCCCAGCCCAUCAGCUAAGGUCCCAAAAUUCGAAUUAAGUGGUAAAGGAUGUAAUGCUACCGAGACAACCAGGAUGUUGGCUUAGAAGCAGCCAUACAUUGAAAGAGUGCGUAAUAGCUCACUGGUCAAGUGGAAUUGCGCCGAAGAUUUCCGGGGCUAAAAUUCGAUACCGAAGCUAUGGAUACCUAGCAAUAGGUAUGGUAGAGGAGCAACGUGUGGUAGGACGAAGCAUGAUCGAAAGGACAUGUGGACGAAACACGAGAGAGAAUGCUGGCAUGAGUAACGAGAAGGCGAGUGAGAAUCUCGCCCGUCGAAAGCCCAAGGUUUCCUGGGGAAGGCUCGUCCACCCAGGGUAAGUCGGGACCUAAGGCGAGGCCGAAAGGCGUAGUCGAUGGAAGACAGGUGGAAAUUCCUGUACUAUCCGAGGUAUUAAGAGAAGUGGUGACGCAGGAGGAUACGUCAAGCGCACGGAUGGAAGAGUGCGUUCAAGCGUCAAGGCAGGGAAGAUAGGCAAAUCCGUUUUCCUAAUGCCAAGGCGUGAUGAGGAUCGAAAAUGAAGUAGAGAAGUGACCUAGUUCACACUGCCAAGAAAAGCCGCUAUCGCACCAAGGAUACCCGUACCGCAAACCGACACAGGUAGGCAAGAAGAGAAUUCUAAGACGCGCGGAAGAACCUCUGUUAAGGAACUCGGCAAAAUGACCCCGUAACUUCGGGAGAAGGGGUGCCGAAAGAUGUUUUGUACACGUACGAUGCAUCCUUCGGCCGCAGUGAAACGGCCCAAGCGACUGUUUACCAAAAACACAAGUAUCUGCCAAAUCGAAAGAUGACGUAUAGGUGCUGACACCUGCCCGGUGCUGCGGCGGCCGUAACUAUAACGGUCCUAAGGUAGCGAAAUUCCUUGUCGGGUAAGUUCCGACCCGCACGAAAGGUGUAACGAUUUGGGCACUGUCUCAACAGAGGAUCCGGUGAAAUUGUAGUAUGCGUGAAGAUGCGCAUUACCCACGACAGGACGGAAAGACCCCGUGGAGCUUUACUGCAGGCUGAUAUUGGAUUUCGGCAUAGGAUGUACAGGAUAGGUGGGAGACUAAGAACUUAGAGCGUCAGUUUUAAGGGAGUCGCCGUUGGGAUACCACCCUUUCUGUGCUGGAAUUCUAACCUGGUACCGUAAGCCGGUACAGGGACACUGUCAGUUGGGCAGUUUGACUGGGGCGGUCGCCUCCUAAAGAGUAACGGAGGCGUUCAAAGGUUCGCUCAGAAUGGUUAGAAAUCAUUCGCAGAGUGCAAAGGCAAAAGCGAGCUUAACUGCGACACCCACAAGUGGAGCAGAUGCGAAAGCAGGACUUAGUGAUCCGGUGGUACCGCGAGGAAGGGCCAUCGCUCAACGGAUAAAAGCUACCCCGGGGAUAACAGGCUUAUCUCCCCCAAGAGUCCACAUCGACGGGGAGGUUUGGCACCUCGAUGU